rnacentral:pre_miRNA from 1 species
AGAAUUCCGUAUCCGUGCUGAGGUUUCGUCACACACCAGACCACAAGGACUGAUGAGACUUCCAAGAUAAGUGAAGCG